rnacentral:sRNA from 1 species
UGAGUUCUUUUAAUGUGCUUACUGUGCU